GGAAUCAACUCCUACAAAAUAAAACAGGAAACAAACACUGAAAGGGGAACCAGGGGAAAACUAAAUGAACAGAACAUAUCAUGACAGUUUUAACAUCAGAAAAGUUUGAGUUAGUUUUCAAAUAUGUGAAAAAAUCUGUGAAAAAUAAACAUUAAAAAAAUGAAAACUUAGUGAAAGGUAUAAACGAUAGAGCUCACUGAGGCUGUGUCUCAUUUCAGAGACCGCAUCGUGAUAAGCGCGCUUAACGGCGCUUAGCUGAGUGCACUGCCGUUUUUAGCCGUUUUGCGCCGUUCUGUGCCCUUCCUGUGUCCCAUUUCAGAUACAGCAGCCAUCGGACGGCGCAUCUGACGCGUACGUGAGGUCACCACGCGGCACGAACGGUGUCCCGUUUGGCACAAAAUACUAAGCGCGCUUCAAAUUCGGUCUCAAAACCACACUACCCCCGCCUCGUUUUCAAGCGUGCAUGUAUGCACGCUUUCGUGCCGUCGGUAUCCCAGAAUUCUUUGCGUGCCGCUGCACAGCUGUGCAUUUCAGGUGAGAGGCUGGACGCGCUUGGAGACACAGCGCGUCUUCGAAGAAAAUACAAGAAAUCCAAAAACAGCAGACAGUCAGCUCAGGCUGUAUGAGAGCAUGAUCUCUGAACUCACUAAAAUUUGUACACCAAACAUUAUAGAUUUAGAGACGAACUGAUCCGCUGUGCUACAACAAUCAAAAACAUUAGAAAUGAGAAAGCUGACAAAACUACAGCAGAGUAUCAGGACAACAUUGAGGUUUUUUUUCUUUUAAGAUUUAGAGAUUAAAGUUGUAAAUUUAGGAGAAUAAAGUCAUAAAGUAAAUAAAGUCAUAAGGCUGCUUUUGCGGAGGGGGAAAUGACUGAAGCUGGUCAUCUGCAGGGUUAUCUGUGGAUGUAUCAGCGGGUCAUUCAGAGAGAUUUUGUGGUUUCUGAAGAAACAAUCAAACUGAUGAUAAUCAACAUUUGUGAUCCAGAGGGAGUCGAGCUCCGACGAGCACCACGUCUCUGACACCGGCCGUAGCCUACACCUGCAGAGACACCAACACCUUAUUAUGGCAUAUGGAUUCAUAUCAUAAAUUAAAGCUCAAUGUCAUUCACGGAUAUUUACGGCUGCAUUGACAGAUAUAUCCUCAGCAUAUUCAUUUCUGCCUCAACAAAAGCAGCGAUUUCCUUCAAGUACACCAAUAUUUUUCCCCGUGGAAAAGACGUAUUUCUCAUAUAUUCUUUUUAAAGUCUUUAUACUUAUGACAAUGUGAUGCUGAUGUGCCAGAGGAUGAAGAAUCUCCUUGUUUGUGAAACCUAUACUGAAGCACAGUUCCUUCAAAUGCUUCAUGGCCCUAAUUUUAACAAGUCUCUUUGAAAUAACAGGUUAUGACUUCAUUCUCAUAAAUUAAUGACUUUAUUCUCGUAAAUUCACGACUUAAAUCUCGAAGUCCUUAAAGUCUUAAAUCUCAAUAUGGCCCUCAUACUCCUUCUUACAAAACAAUCAUUGGAUGAAUUGUGCUUGUAUGUAUCUACUAUUUUGUGUCUGUGUAAGGUCGCACAAUUAAAACAAUAAAUGCUGCGCUCCGCGGGUUUCCUUUAAGUCAGUCGUGACGCAAGCCUGAGGGCGGGGACAUUUGGCAACUCCACCAGGAAGUCCUCCGAAGGUCUCCAAAUGUCCCCGCCCUCAGGCUUACGUCACGACUGAUUAGAAAAAAAGCUGCGGAGCGCAGCAUGUAUUGUUUUAAUUGUGCGACCUUGCACAGACACAAAAUAGUAGAUACAUACAAGCCCAGAUCAUUCCCACAAAAUUCAUCCAAUGAUUGUUUUGUAUGAAGGAGUAUGAGGGCCCUAUUGAGAAGGAGGAUAGGAGAUUCUUCAUCCUCUGGCACAUCAGCAUCACAUUGUCAUAAGUAUAAAGACUUUAAAAAAAGAAUAUAUGAGAAAUACGUCUUUUCCACGGGGAAAAAAACUGGUGUACUUGAAGGAAAUCGCUGCUUUUGUGGAGGCAGAAAUGAAUAUGCUGAGGAUAUAUCUGUCAAUGCAGCCGUAAAGAUCCGUGAAUGACAUUGAGCUUUAAUUUAUGAUAUGAAUCCAUAUGCCGUAAUAAGGUGUUGGUGUCUCUGCAGGUGUAGGCUACGGCCGAUGUCAGAGACGUGGUGCUCGUCGGAGCUCGACUCCCUCUGGAUCACAAAUGUUGAUCAUCAUCAGUUUGAUUGUUUCUUCAGAAACCACAAAAUCUCUCUGAAUGACCCGCUGAUACAUCCACAGAUAACCCUGCAGAUGACCAGCUUCAGUCAUUUCCCCCUCCACAAAAGCAGCUUUAUGACUUUAUUUACUUUAUGACUUUAUUCUCCUAAAUUUACAACUUUAAUCUCUAAAUCUUAAUAGAAAAAAACCUCAAUGUUGUCCUGAUACUCUGCUGUAGUUUUGUCAGCUUUCUUAUUUCUAAUGUUUUUGAUUGUUGAAGCAGAGCGGAUCAGUUCGUCUCUAAAUCUAUAAUGUUUGGUUUACAGAUUUUAGUGAGUUCAGAGAUCAUGCUCUCAUACAGCCUGAGCUGACUGUCUGCUGUUUUCGGAUUGCUUGUAAUUUCUUUGAAGACGCGCUGCGUCUCCAAGCGAGUCCAGCCUCUCACCUGAAAUGCGCAGCUGUGCAGCGGCACGCAAAGGAUUCUGGGAUACCGACGGCACGAAAGCGUGGAUAAAUGCACGCUUGAAAACAUGCUAAGCGCGCUUAGCAUUUUUUAGCAUCUCGUGCCAAACGGGACACCGUUCGCACCGUCGUGACGUCAUGCACACUUCAAAUGCACCGUUCGACGGUGCAGAAGGGCACUUAGGUCGAUGCGGUCUCUGAAAUGAGACACAGCCUGAGUGUUUCAGCCUUGAAGUGUGUUGAAUUUGUGGUUUUUGUAGGACCUACAGCAGUUGUGACUUUGCAUCAGUAGGUGGUGCUGUCCCAGUGACCCAUAUUUAUAUGUACACCUGCUGAGGCCUCGGGUGUUA